ACCCUACAGCUACCUAGGCAGCCUCGGUGGGUGUGCAUGUUUCUGUGUGCAUAUACCCAGGGACUAUGGCGAGAAGGAGACUCAAAGAAGUCAGUGCAAUUUCUUUAGCCAUUCUGCUUGGGAAUAGCCAAUAGAAUAGUAGUAUUCUGCUCCCAGGGGCCAUUUCUAAGAGUGGUAGGAAAAACCUAGAUUUUUUAUAUUUUCCCAUAUCUGGGGAAAGGGAACUGUCAUAAUUUGGUGCCCCUGGAAACUCUGCCCAGUGGCCUAGUGUCAGGGGACUUUUCCUGGCCUGCUCUUGGCCGGUAUUUCUAAACAUAAAACACAGCAGCCUCUUUCAAAGGCCUAAGAAUGUCUUAGACUCUAAGUCCUUCUAUAGUAUAGUACUUAUUAGGCCUGCUGUUCAAAUGUCAGCAAAGUGUCCUUCGUCACCCUAAUCUCUGUCUAGAUCCAUCCUGCCCUACGUAGGAAACCUGUUUUCCUUACUGAGCUGUAAUAUCCUAUUUAGAGUAAAGAUCUCAGACUGAAGGAACAAAAGCAGUGGUAGUGGUGCGUGAAGGAAGAUCCUAGAGAAAGGAGGAUGUAGGUUGAGAGCUUGGCUUCUCAUUGAAAAUCUAGUAGUAGAGCAAACCAAUUCAUUCUCCAAAUGGGGUGUGGCAUAUAUGUUGCGUAAAUUUGGAAACAUUUGAAGAGUAGAUCAGAAAUAUCCAUGAAGUAUUGAAGUGUUAACUAUCAGAUUCUUUCUGUAAAGCUGUAGCAUCUUCUAAAAAUUAGAAAGUGUGUUGUGAGUGGAACUUACUUUAAGCUUUGAUCAUUCAGAUGUGAGCUUGGCCUCUAUUGGCUUAAAUUUCCUCCACCCUAGACGGGCUACUUUUUGGGGACUCUGUGUGGGUUACGAACUGACCUGGCUGAAGACAAACAACAGAAGCUGUGUUUCUUCUGAGCUGUCUGAUCUUUAGCAUGUGCUAGACCCUUAUUCUUGCAUUUAGGGCAGCCUUGUUUUUCUCUAGGAGAACCAGCUGCCCUUAGAAAACAAUUCAAAUGCUUAGACAAAUUAUUCUCCCUUCAAAGUGAAGGAAUGUGCCUUUUUGUUGCAUUCCACCCAGCCUCUAGUGCAGCUCAUUGAAUGAAGUAAGUACUCAAGAGUUAUGUUUAUGUUUUGGGGAGCGACAAAGUCUCUAUAUGAAACAGGACUCACAUUUCAUAGAACCAUACGCCAGGAAAAGACCUUAAGAUCACCUACUCUAUUCUGUCGACAACAUGCCUGUGAUGUUUGCUCGAGUAUCUCUAGUAUGUGGGUACUUGCUACUUUUCGAGGAAAUUCUUUUCCAACUGUGACCAGCAGAUUACUGGAAAAUUUACCCAUUUCCAUUAAAGACGUCUGGAAUGAGGGAAAGCAUAUUAAGUCUCUCAGGAUAUACAGGUAUUUUAAGAGCUACACCUCAGUUGGAUAUACUGAUGAAGGAGGGGGAAGUGCUUCUUAAUUAGGAAGAGAAAGAAAAGGCCAAGGUAGCUCUACAAUGACUCCAUGGACUUGGGAGGCAGCAGUGUAUCUCUGAAUGAUGGUGCCCUUCCGGUUCUUGCGGUGCAGGGCAAACAGUGUCCUGUUAGUCGCUCAAGUGCAAUAGUCAGCCCUUCUAUAGCUCUUCCACCCUCACUUCUAAUAACAAAUCUUCCACUUAGUUUCUCUCUUUGUUAAGUAUAUUCCUUUCUUCUCCCUAGCGCAGUUGCCACCAUCACCACCAUCAACAUUCUCAAUGAUAAUUCCCCAGUUACAGCUUUCAUGAAUCUCUCUUAGCAUCUAGGCCGGGGAUACUGAAAAUACAGCUAGCUAGGGCAGUUUAGUGGAUACUGAAGUUAAAUGAACUGACUUAAGUUCUAAAGAUUGAGUUUUGUUCAAAGAAAGCUGUGAAGUUUAUGAUUCAGGGUCAACUAUCAAUGGGUGAGAUUCUGGUAAGGAUCCACAGACACACUGAGAAGUCUUUCUACAAGUGGCUAAAGCCUGGUCUCCACCUAGAUGUGAACUCCUCUGGAAGUGUUAACUGUGUUAGUUAUUGGGUUUUCUAAACGGGGGCAAGUAAUGAAGCCUGCAGAGCUAAUAGUCUGCAAGAAUGACUGAAAGGGUUUUGGCUAAGAUGGCCAUAGUACCAUGACAAGGAUUAUCCAAGACUUGAGGAAUCUUUCCCAGACUGUACCAGUUUCUUGGAGCUCUUACUAAGGAGAAGAGGGAAGGGAUAAGUUGGAAAUUCUGCGAACUAAGAAUGAGUGUGCCAUACGAAUUAGGGACAUGAACUGUCAUCAAGAUAACCAACGCUAAAAUGCUGCCUAAGGGGCUUCUCUGCAGUCUGAAGGCAGAGCCAAACAGAUCAGAGCAUCAAAUGCGCCUUUAAGCACACACCCAGGACGUCUGGAACUCUCACAUGGUGCCGAGAACAAUAGCCCAGAAAACAGAAGUCCUCUGUGCUGCCUCCCAGCUCUAACACAUGGUAUGAUUUUGGGUGAAGUUACCUUGUACUUUUUCUGCUUUUAGUGAGGUAGCUGUGUUCAUCCUGAUCUUGGUGGGAGGCAAUCUGUGAAAACAUAAUGGAGCCAAACAUAUUAAUUAAAGAAAUGAGUGCUAGACUUUGCUUGAGAUGUAGAAGAAAAAACUCAAUUGUGACAAAUCAAUUAAUUCAGCAUAUUGUUCCUGUGCACAUAUUGAGUAUAGAUAAGUGCUAGUAGCCCAUGAGGGUUCACUGUCUUGUUGAGUUCCAGGUGUUAUACAUGUCGUUAGACUUGAACUGGAUUUCCUUCUUGUUGCUAGCCCAAAUGAAGGUCAGGCUUGUUAGGCAUGUGAGGGGUGGCCCAAAUGUUGGUGACUUUUGUUCUCUGCACCAUGCCUGGUAGCCAUCUCCUCCCAGCAGUGCCGCCGAUCUGAUAUGGGAGUUCCCUGACUCUUGCACCCUGGUACGGCCCCUCCUCAUUUCAGACACAGUGCUAGGGCAUGGAGAAGGGAAUGGACCAUACCCACCCAGCUCCUCUACCACCUGAGGAGCAGGCAGUGACUGCAGAGCCCUUAAACGUGUCUUUGCUUUAAAGUUUGGAAAAGUACUUUGGAAAGUGGAAAUCUUUGUACAAGUGUUAGGAAUACUUUUGUAUUGCUCGUGAAAGUGGCAUCUAUUUUCUCUCUCAAGGUCUCUUCUCCUUCUCUGACUGUUCCCUUAAAAUUAGAUGGCUCCAGGGUGCGUGUGGCCACACAGUAUGAGCACUUGUGUCUUUACGUUGCUGCUACUUGGGGUGAACAACGGGUGUGUGCUUGGGUUCUCUGAGCUGGGAAGAGAAUCCGUCUUUUGGACAUUGCACAAGGAGCCUAGGUCUUUGUCCCUGUCACCUUCAGAGGAAUGCAUUUUAUUUCUUCAUAUGAUGUCUCAGUUACUGCACUGUAAGUGUGGAAAUCAGUUACAAACUGAAUUUUCACAUUCUCUUGCACAGUUACAUUCUUCCUUCAAAGAUAAGAAAAUUGCAUCAACCUUCUCUGGGCUCCCAUGGCAACUUGUUAAAUUAGGUCAAGAUGUGGGGGCAGAUAACAUGGCUUGAAAGCCUGCCUGUGAGCUGAGUUAAGAAUAUAUCAAACGUAAUGCUGGCUUCCGCCAAAAUGUACCUUCUUACCUUGCUAUGAACUGCUUAUGGUUAUCAAACUGAUAAAAUCAGAAAGCUCUAUUUUCUCUUAUUCAAAGAUACAUCCUGAAACCCUUCUAAUUACAAAACAAUCUGAGAGGAGUGGCCCAGUGUCGUCUAUAUAUUUUAUAGACCUGAGCAGAAUGCUUUCUAGAUCCUUGAAAAACAGAGACAUCUCUGGUUGGUUGGUUCAUUUUUUUUUUUUUUUUUUUUUCCAAUUUUAGUAGGUGUAGGCUAAUAUAUCCAGAUUAUCAAAAUGCACUCUUCCUUCCUUCCCCAUUUUAUAGAUAAUGAAAUUGAGGCACAGAAAAAGUAAAUUAUGCAAGGCAAUGUACAGAGAUGGUAGCUUCUGAAUGAAUCAUAAAUGCCAGCUAUCUCUCCUGACGGAAGUUUCUUUGCUCCACCUUAGGGAUGGUGAUGCUCAUGGGUUAUCUCACUUGUCCCUCGUGAAUGAUUAGGGACCUUGUCUCCACUUGUCACUAAUUAACACUCUACAUGUGGGUUAGGGGCGUGUGGGCGAGGGACCUUUGGCUUUAGCCCUGAGUUAUUGGCCUGUAAAUCACCUUUACUGAACUUCAUUCCAGAUUGCCAGCCAAAUCCACAGGUAAAGAGUCCAAUUCCUAUCACUUGUAUGGUUGUUACUGGGCUGGUCUGGUGGUAGAUUAUGAAUGAAGUGGUUAGGGUCUUCUUUUUUUAGGGAGUCUGAAAAAAGGCUAAGGCCAAAGCCAUUUAUUAACUGUAACAAAAUUAUGUUUUAUAAUUAUGUGCACAUUUGUAAAUAUACAGACCCUCAGUUGCCUUAAAGCUAAAUUUGGGACUAUCUGGAAUUCAGAUUCCAAAUAUUUAUGUGUGAGACACCACAAGAAAGGCACGCAUCUUAAAAAAAAAAAAAAAAAACGCAUCUUAGAGAAGGAGAGUUCUGGUGUGUGCCCCUCUGACCCAUGCCUUCUCUUCAUUUCCGACUCAUGACCCUCUCAGAUUGCUUCAGACCUGGAAUAAAUCGUCUCCUCACCACUUCAUAGAUGGCACUAGAGCCAGUUUACAUCACACAGUAAGAAAGCCCCUGAGCUGGAUAGAGAACCUUGGCGUUCUGGCUCCUAGUUCAUUUUAGGGUUCAAUAACCCAAAAAAAAAAAAUUUUUUUUUUUUUUUUUUUUUUAACCCAAAGCUACUGCUAAAACAUGUUUUGGAAAACAAAUAGCUUUACUGUAAAAGAGAGUGCUUCAGAGUGCUCUAAUUCAGAAUGAAACCUGAGAUUUGGCAGCAUGACCUGAGAUCAUCGUUUUCUGAAGGACAGCUGAAUUGCAAAAUCAUCUCAGUGUAGUCAGGUACAGACAACUACUGAGGGAACGUUUGGUAUGAGCCUAAGCUAGUGAUAAAGAAAGGGGCCAGCAGAGCCAGUGAGUAGUGCAAUAUGAAUCUGUGCAGAAGAUUCUUAAAAUUCUAAGUCCAGGUAGGUACGUUAUUAGAAUACUUUUGUUGUUGUUGUUAGUUCCUGUUGAGGGGGACCCAGACUCAUGGUGAUCCCGUGCACAACAGAAUGAAACACUGCCCAGUCCUGCACCAUUCCCAUGAUUGGUUGCCGACCAGACUGUUGUGAUCCAUAGGGUUUUCACUGGCUGAAGAGGGACACUUUAGAGCUUUUCAAUUUAGAGGGAUUAACUGGGCAAAGCUCUGGAAUAUCUCUUUCAUGACCAUUGGGAUACACGGUUGCCCACCCACUUUUUCUGCCCCUCAGGUUCGUUGAGAAGCUGCUUGCCCAAUGACAGUACAUGCUGCCUCAAGGCGGGGGCCUUUAUGACUGUUUGAAACUGAAAAAAUGGGCGCGUGCUGCAGAUUACUAUUUCUACAGGGUGUUGUUUGAGGUCUGUGCAUUUUGGGCAGGAAACAUAGAAAUUUUGAAAAUGUUUCUUCGGGGGAGCAUCUGGGGGUAGAAUUAGUGGGACACGGUAUGCCCCUUGGAACUUGGAGGGUAGGAUGGUUGGUGGGGGCAAAAAAUAAAAAAAUACUACCUACCAAAAAUUCAACAACACCGAAUGAUUCAGCAUGCUUCCAUUAAUGAAACACAUAGUAUCAACAAAAAUUCAAAGCAGAAAAUAAUCAGGUCUUGAAAGAUAAAAGCUUCUCAGCCUCCAUAGAAAUGCUGUUGAUAAAAGACAGUUUGCAUGAUGAAAAUCAGGAAGAAUCAACUUGUUGACAAGAGCAUUAGUCUCAUAGAACUCUGGUGCCCACUCUGCACAGUUGCCACCUUUCACAGGGAGGCCCAGGGAAUUGAUAUGUCUAAAUGAGGUUCUUGGCUGGGCAAAGACAGGAUGGGCUUGCAGGCAGAUGUCAUAGUCUCAACAUAGAGUAUCCCUGGGCUUCCUGGAUGGAGAGGAAGAGAAGAUCUUGGCGCCGUGAUUCACAGUGCAGGAAGCCAGGCAGAUCCCUCAGCCAUAAUGGAGCUUUCCUCCCAGAAGCAUCUCAGGAGCUGGGAAGGACUCUCCUAUGUUUGGUGGUGGGCCCUAGGGAGUCCCUGGUCUGGACUUUGUGAUCUCCAUGGAGUGAUGGGGUAACAUGUCGUUGAGUUAUUGAUGGGAAAUUGAUGAGAGAUACUUUGGAGAACUGGAAUGGAAAAUUCCCUGAAAGAUCUGAACCUGCCUGGAGCAGAAGCCUGUUUGUAUUGCCUGCAUGUCAUUGUCACUGUCUUUGCUUUCUAACGCAUUAGCUUCGUGACAGGUUUUCUUAAUCAUCUGCCACCCAUAGAAAAUGGCCGCAGAGUAGGACGAUUAUCUUCUCUCUUAAUUUCCUUAAAAAAAAAUUUUUUUUUUUUCUUUAAAAAAUGUGACAAGCAGAGGCUCUGUUUCCACUGGUUUCCUUUGAAAGUAGCAGCUGGCUGAACCACCUCAGCGUUUUGACCCAGAUAUGGUAGUAAUUUUCAGGCUGCCUUUGGGGCACAUGAAGUUCGCUUAUACUUUAAAUAUACCUCUCCCCUUGAUGCUGUUUACAGCUAUUUGAAGCCUAGUGGGUGCCUGGGUUUGGGAGAACAAGAAAGGGUCACAAGUUGACCCAUGUUUUCUGGGCACAGCCCCCAUGCGUGUUUUCAAGGAGGACCACAUUUUUUGUCACUGUUUCUCUAAAUCUAACUGCAAAUGGUGGAACUGGGUGGCAACUGCUCUAAAAUUCCACCCUGUCUCCAGUUUGAAGCUCCACUUCUUUUGCCUUUGAAAUAAAAUGUUUCCACGGGGCUGAAUUCGGCCAGGGUGCUGCCGAGGCAUCCACACAAAGUCCCUGUUGCCUUUAAACAACAGCCUUGGAAAGUCCCCACAGCCUCUGUUGGGAAAGGCCCUGCCAGAAUGUCCCAGAUAUUCCUGCUUUCACCCUUUGGCAUCUCUUCCCUGGAUGGCCUUCCCUGUUUACGGAGAGUGAGGUUGGGUCCUCCGUGUAGAGACUCGAUUCAGGAGAAGCCGUGUUCGUCCUUGUCCUCCCUCAGAUGAAUUUCAUGUGACCCUGGAGGUUGGCAGGCCCAUCAGCACCUCCUGGCCUGCACUUUGUGUGCCCUUAAGGUGUGAAGCCCAGGUUAAACAUGCAAGAAGGCUGUCCUUCCAUGCUGUGUAGCUUUGGUUAUGUUUGGUGAUGUGGAGGUUAAGAGCACCAGAUGGGGAGCCAGCCAACCAGAGUUUGCCUUCGCUCUGCCGCUAACCAGCUGUGUGACCUUAGGCAAGCUCUUUAGCAUCUCUGUGCUUCAGUUUUUUCCCCUGAAAAAUGGUAAUAAUAAUUGCUCCUGCAUCAUAUGGUUGUUGUGAGAAUUAAGUCAAUCAGUUUAUACAAAACACCCAGAAAAGCACUAGGUACAUACUAAGUACUCUAUAAAUUGUAACUGCUACUACUGUUUCAUCUUCCAAACUUUUAUGUCUUUCCAGUACAAUUCUAAGUUUCUAGAGAUCAGGGAAGUGUAUUUUACUUAGGGAAUUAUAGUAAUUGCUGGCAGUGUCGUGGGGCACAGCGCAUAUUUAGUACCUGAUUAGCUCACUUGAGCUAUUCAGCUCAGCUCACAUGUAUUAAGCUCCUUCUGGGUGCUAGACUCUUUCGUAUACUUUAUUUUCUUUUAACCAUCACCAACAACCACACAAGGAAGGUACUGUUAUCCCUAUUUUACAAGCAAAAGAAUUGAGGUUCAGAAGCGGGAAGGAGUCCAGCCUGAAGGCAUAGAGCAGACAACAAAGAAGAUGCCUUCACAGUUUUUCACGAUGUCAGACAGUUAGUAGGAAAAUGCCUGAUAUGAGUAAAUGUAUUAGUUUGAGUCUGUGGAGAAGCAGAUGCCAAGACAGGGUUAGGCCUGCAAGCAAGACAUUUAUUGGGGGAAACAUCUGCAAAGGACACAGGGAGGGAGCAGAAGAAGGUAGGCAGAACCUCAGUCCAUGAUGCAGGUCUGACACCUGUAAAAGGAGAGCUGGAAGGAGAGCCAUUUUGGUAUGAAGGGUCUCCAGCUGCAGCUCAGUUCCACGUCAGUUCUGGUCAGGCGGAUGGGGCGUCCUCGGGCCCAAGUUGCCCAGUGGAGAAGUUUUGCAUCCCACAGGCCUGGCCUCUGUGCCUCCACCAUGCCCACUCAGGAAACCUGGCCUUGGUGUGGACAUGGGGUCAACCCAGUUAUGCUCCCAGCAGCAGGAGACCUGAGCGCCACAGGUAAUUUGAUGACCACAUCAGAUGCGACUGAAGAGCGUGCCUGUUUGAUUACCCAACUCGGCUUCUCCAUCUGACCAGUUGUGUAGUAGGACUCCAGACCAUAGGUCUCGAUGCUCUCCGGGCCCAUGACAGGCUUUCGUGCGUAUUGUUGACCCUAAUGAACCCAGUCACAUUGUCUUAUGUCUGACUCACCUCUCCCUGAGAGAUGAUGAGAGUGAAAGUUCUCCUGAGGUAACUGAAUGCGAAAGUUUAAACUCUGAAACUAGGAUGGGACUUGGUUUGCCGGAGAAAUUCUUAUAGGGCACAGCUCUGAGGAGGCGUUUGACAUUCAAAGCCGAGGUGGGAGCAGUUUCUCAUGAAGGCCUCCCAAGGCUAUUUGUCCUGCCACCAUCGAUGGCGGUGUUAAUAUUCAACCCAACCUGGCUACAAUGCCUUUUCCAUUGAAGGAGUGUUCAGAAAUGGUUUGCUUCAAAAAUUCAGUGCUCAAGUGAUCACUUAGGAUCUGGUUCUCUUCCCCAAGAGUUCUCAUAUGCUGAAAAAAUAAGUUCUGUCAUUCUUGGUAUGCUGGGGAGACGUCACCCCAGGAUACAAUACAAUACAGAAAUUGCAUUGAAAAUCCUACUAAGACACACACAGGCCUUAGACUUCGGAAGCUUUAUUCUCUAACCCUAGUCAGUGAACACAUCUUUAGUUCUUCACGUCACCUACUCGGGAAAGCAUUUUCUUUACAAAUUUACACGGGCCAGAAAAAACAUUGCUUUGGUUUAUAACAAAAUUCUUCUCUACCCCCAAAUCCAAACCUAACCCAUCUCUGGUGACUUCUUAAAAGAAUCAGUUACCUAGAAAACAUCAGGAGGAAAAAGCUAUAAAGAAACCCACUUCCUGAUUUGAGCUUAGCUGCCUCGCUGUCCAAGUUUGUGUCUGUUAGGUUUAGCCUGGUUAAAAAGAAUUAUUUGUGGGUUUACUUAGAGGAAAGAGGUGACUACAUUUGAAUACAUGCUGUCCCUUUAAGAGAGGAACAUCUUCCUCUCGCUGCCACCCCCACACAUGUGUACUUGAACACAUGCAGGUGUGAGGAGCUAGAGCACAAACGUUUUUCCUCUUACAUUGAAAUUGUGUAACUGUCUCGUUCUCAGGCUCAAGCCAAACUUGCCAAACGAAUCUCACUUGCGCCUGUCCCAGAUGGGGCAGCCCAGCUGGCCGUGAGCCAACCAACCAGUCUUACUAUUGGACCUAUUUGAAGUGCUCAUGGCUGGGCAAGGCUUUCUGGUCUACCUUCAGUUAAUGCAGAUAGGGUCUGGCUCUUUAGGCCCAAACUACCAACAUUUGUGGGGAACAUUGCUGAACUGUCUCCAGGCUAGCCCUACAUAAAAAUUAGGUGGAGGUUACUUGGCGAGGAGCAUGAAUGAUUAGGGAAAAAAGAGCACAUUUGGGGGAAAGAGGAUCUAAGUCCGUCUGUGGCCAAGAUUUCCCCAAACCGUAAGUGUCUGUGAUACUUUCACUUGCAAAGCAAUUUGCAUCUCUUAUAUCUUUUUGAGCGGUACCUACUUUUAAUUAGAGCAAGAAUUUCACAGAGUUAUCCUCACUAUAAAAAUCUUGAAUGGUUUUUCUCACAAUAUUUUCUACAUUUUGCUUUUAUAUACAUUAACUUAUUUUUUCUUUUUUUAAUAUUCACCAUUCCACUUUUUCCAAGUUGCCACGUAAAAGACCAAUUUAACCAUUAGGAGGAUAAUUUAAUUUUAUGUAGUACGUUCACUAUCUUUUUAGUCCAUCUGUUUUCUUUCUCAUCAUUCUUUGAGAAUUCUGUUUUUAAAAAUAAUCUGCUGUUAUUUCAUUCUUCUAUUCAAUUCCACUGUUGAAUUUUAUGUUGCUCCUAAACUGUUCUGGGCUAUGGUUUCCUCUUUAAGUCUGAAAUUCCUUUGGAUUAUAGGGACUUCAUUUGCAUCUCUGUAAAGUAGGGAGGAACAGCAGCGACUGCUAUUUCCAUUUUAGGAAUGGGAAAACCAAAGCCCAGAGAGGUUAAAUGAGUUGCAUGAGAUUGCACAGUGAAUCAGGGAAGAGUUGAGAUCAAAGUCCUGGAUUCUAAACUUCCCUUUUUGGACUUUCCCAUGAGCUCUCAUACUUCAGUUUUAUAGGAUGGUGUCAUUGCUCAGCCCUCUACUGCCUGACAUGUUUUUUUCUUUUUUUCAUUUAAAUGCUUCCUGCUUACUUUUGGUCUGAUAUGUCUGAGACAUUGACCUGACAGUCAAAGGCUGGUUUUAAUUGAUUUGAGAGCUGUUUUCGAACUGGUUUCCAUUCUUAGUAUUGGCUAUCUCAGUAAUUAAAGAAAAAAAAAAAACACAGUUCAUAAAGUUGUCCAU